rnacentral:rRNA from 1 species
UGCCUACGGGACGCAGCAGUGGGGAAUAUUGGGCAAUGGGCGCAAGCCUGACCCAGCAACGCCGCGUGAAGGAAGAAGGCUUUCGGGUUGUAAACUUCUUUUCUAAGGGACGAAGAAAGUGACGGUACCUUAGGAAUAAGCUCCGGCUAACUACGUGCCAGCAGCCGCGGUAAUACGUAGGGAGCGAGCGUUAUCCGGAUUUACUGGGUGUAAAGGGGGGGAGGCGGGGUGGGCA